AGCGAACGCUGGCGGCAGGCUUAACACAUGCAAGUCGAGCGGGCCCUUCGGGGUCAGCGGCGGACGGGUGAGUAACGCGUGGGAACGUGCCUCCUGGUCUGGAAUAACCCUGGGAAACUAGGGCUAAUACCGGAUACGCCCUUUUGGGGAAAGGUUUACUGCCGGAAGAUCGGCCCGCGUCUGAUUAGCUAGUUGGUGGGGUAACGGCCUACCAAGGCGACGAUCAGUAGCUGGUCUGAGAGGAUGANCAGCCACACUGGGACUGAGACACGGCCCAGACUCCUACGGGAGGCAGCAGUGGGGAAUAUUGGACAAUGGGCGCAAGCCUGAUCCAGCCAUGCCGCGUGAGUGAUGAAGGCCUUAGGGUUGUAAAGCUCUUUUAUCCGGGACGAUAAUGACGGUACCGGAGGAAUAAGCCCCGGCUAACUUCGUGCCAGCAGCCGCUGUAAU
rnacentral:rRNA from 1 species